rnacentral:tRNA from 1 species
GGCUACGUAGCUCAGCUGGUUAGAGCACAUCACUCAUAAUGAUGGGGGUCUGGCGCCGCAAGGUGUGAGAGUUCAAGUCUCUCCUUCCGCACCA